CUGGUUGGCUACGUUCGGGAGGGAUAACCGCUGAAAGCAUCUAAGCGGGAAGCCUGCUUCGAGAUGAGGGCUCCCACCCACUUGAUGGGGUAAGGCUCCCUGUAGACGACAGGGUUGAUAGGCCAGAUAUGGAAGCCUUGUGAGAGGUGGAGUUGACUGGUACUAAUAGGCCGAGGGCUUGUCCUC
rnacentral:rRNA from 1 species